GCACAAGAGGUGAAGCUCUGUUUUGUUAUGGGUAACAGUCAGUAGAUGGCGCUGCGGAGCCACGGCCGCCAUUAGGGACUGAAAACACAACUGUGAAGAUGUGCAAAGUGGUCGAAACGCAAGCAGUGUUCUGCAAUAAAUUGCAAAAAUUAUCAGUUCACCAGAAGCGAUUUGGCAUUUCAUCGGUUUCCAAAGGAUGCACAAAGGUGUGCCAGGUGGGUCCAGAAUCUAAGGAAUGCAUCCCUUCAUGGCAUACCUUUGGAUCAGCUGCAUCGGACCUACAGGGUGUGGAGUGCCCAUUUCCACAGCAGCCAGUUCAAAAGACCAUCUGAUGUCCAUGGUGGGCUGAACUGGGAUGCUGUGCCCACAAGAAUACAGGCCCCUAACCCACCUCCCCCACUAGAUGUCGAGAGGAAGCGUAAACCUCCGAAGACACGCCAGGAGUUGCCACGUAAAAAACGCAAGCAGAGUCAAGUUCCUCCUCCCUCCAAAGACCAGCAUACCGGGGAAGCUGUAGCGGGGCCUUCAUCACGGGCGCACUACACUGAGGAAGCUGUAGCGGGGCCUUCAUCACGGGCGCACUACACUGAGGAAGCUGUAGCGGGGCCUUCAUCACGGGCGCACUACACUGAGGAAGCUGUAGCGGGGCCUUCAUCAAUCAGUUAUUGUUCAUUUUUAGAAAUCUAUACAAAACUUGAACUGGCUAGUAGCUGACUAAUGCUUCCAUUCUAUGUCAGUGCCUCUUCUCUCACAAAAAGAAAAAAAUACAACAAAACUUAAAUGCUCACACAAUAGAUGGUGGUGUCUGAUUAAUUACUGAGAUCUUAUGGCUCCAUUUUAGUACUGUUUAUAGUUCAUGUGUGCACUUGCUAGAUUGCACAUCUUUUUUGUACCUUUCCGCCUGUAAUAGGACAUUCACAGAUUGUUUUUGUUCUUGCCAUUGAAACGUUCACUGUGUGCACUUUCAAUGAAGAUGUUGAAAAAACGUGUUAAUAUUUUUGUGAUAUUCUAUGUAAAAGAUUAACUCGUAAGAAAUGUUCAUUUAUAAUUUUAUUUAUUUAUUUUUCCAAAUCAUAUAUGGUGAUGUUCAAUCAUUUCAAAAUCAACAUUUGAAUAAAUGUUAUUACUGUG